ACUAUUUUGACAGAAAAGUGUAGUAGAUUUAGAAUCUAUAAAUGUAAUUUAAAUUACAAAUAGUA
rnacentral:tRNA from 1 species